UGGGAAGGAUCUAGCUGCCUGACAGAGUACAGGGUUCCUGAAGCAGAGCAGUGCUGGGGAGCUCUGGCUGGAUGAGUCCUCAGGCUGAGGCCUUGCUGAAGGCCAAUGGAGAUGACUUUGCAGGGUGACGUACAUUCACCUGUAGCCAUAAAAACAUAAAGCCGAAGAACAAACACAUUUUAUGGGAACAAUUUCUGUGCCAACAGAUGAACACAAAUAUUGUAACAUUGAACUUUAUGCAGGUUCCCAGACAAAAAGAGGAGGCAGGAACUUGCAGCAGAAGGACUUGAGUCAUGCUGGGAGUGCAGUCAUGUGGCAGAAGGGGACAUUUGUGGCUCUGGGGACACAGAGCCAGGCAUACCUUACUGCAGACAAGUGUCCUAACCUAGACCUCCCUCGUGUACACCCUGGUGGCUAGAAACCCUCCUUUCUUCUGGUAUAGUCAGUA